rnacentral:tRNA from 1 species
GAGGGUAGAGCUCAGUGGUAGAGCAUCUGCUUAGCAUGCACGAGAUCCUGGGUUCAAUCCCCAGUACCUCCA